rnacentral:lncRNA from 1 species
CGAUGAGGAUCUCACAUCCACGUGGCAUCUAUUUAUUGCCUGCAUGGAAGAGCGCGCCACUUACUACACCAAACACACUACGCGUGUACCAGCCUAUCUUUAUAAUAGUUUAUAACAAUUUUCGUAUAAAAAUUUACGAAUACCGGAGAGAUCCUGGAAGCCAUGAUGGAGAAAAACGAGCAACAGAAAAAGACAGGAAAUAACUUCGAAAAGAAGAUCGACGACGAUAGAGUUGGGUCAAUA